CCUACGGGAGGCAGCAGUGAGGAAUAUUGGUCAAUGGGCGCAGGCCUGAACCAGCCAAGUCGCGUGAGGGAAGAAGGCUUUCGGGUUGUAAACUUCUUUUCUGAGGGACGAAGAAAGUGACGGUACCUCAGGAAUAAGCCACGGCUAACUACGUGCCAGCAGCCGCGGUAAUACGUAGGUGGCAAGCGUUAUCCGGAUUUAUUGGGUGUAAAGGGCGUGUAGGCGGGAAAGCAAGUCAGAUGUGAAAACUCAGGGCUCAACCCUGAGCCUGCAUUUGAAACUGUUUUUCUUGAGUGCUGGAGAGG
rnacentral:rRNA from 1 species